GGUGAUCUAGGGUUAUACGUGUUCCUAAGACUUAUGCCCUUGGAGUUCAUCUCUGGCCGAAGCGACAGAGUGAUCUAUACAUCGAGGCCAUAGCGACAAGAUGUAGUUAAAUUGUUAAGGCCGUAGCGACAAAACAAUUUUGAUUUGUUAGGGGUAAAGUCGUAAAUAUUAGGAACUUUUAAAAUUUUAACUUUUUAUUGCUAAAAAAGCGGAAAAACAAGAUGUAAAAAAUAAAAUCUAAUUAUUUUAUUUUGCUAUACACGAAAGGACUAAAGGAAGGGGAGGGUCAAUACUAAGCGUAGUAUUGUUGCAUGUUGUCAGCAUGCCAGGUGUUCGGAAC
rnacentral:lncRNA from 1 species